rnacentral:rRNA from 1 species
GUUGGGGUGAUGGCGCGUGCUUACCAUGCAGUCGAACGAACCUUCGGGUUAGUGGCGGACGGGUGAGUAACGCGUGGGAAUCUGCCCUCAGGAGGGGGAUAACGGCUGGAAACGGCCGCUAAUACCCCAUAUGCCGAGAGGUGAAAUGAAUUUCGCCUGAGGAUGAGCCCGCGUCUGAUUAGCUAGUUGGUGAGGUAAGAGCUCACCAAGGCAUCGAUCAGUAGCUGGUCUGAGAGGAUGAUCAGCCACACUGGGACUGAGACACGGCCCAGGCUCCUACGGGAGGCAGCAGUGGGGAAUUUUCCGCAAUGGGCGAAAGCCUGACGGAGCAACGCCGCGUGAGGGAUGAAGGCCUCUGGGCUGUAAACCUCUUUUCUCAAGGAAGAAGAUCUGACGGUACUUGAGGAAUAAGCCACGGCUAAUUCCGUGCCAGCAGCCGCGGUAAUACGGGAGUGGCAAGCGUUAUCCGGAAUUAUUGGGCGUAAAGCGUCCGCAGGCGGCCCUUCAAGUCUGCUGUUAAAACGUGGAGCUUAACUCCAUCAUGGCAGUGGAAACUGUUGGGCUUGAGUGUGGUAGGGGCAGAGGGAAUUCCCGGUGUAGCGGUGAAAUGCGUAGAUAUCGGGAAGAACACCAGUGGCGAAGGCGCUCUGCUGGGCCAUAACUGACGCUCAUGGACGAAAGCCAGGGGAGCGAAAGGGAUUAGAUACCCCUGUAGUCCUGGCCGUAAACGAUGAACACUAGGUGUCGGGGGAAUCGACCCCCUCGGUGUCGUAGCCAACGCGUUAAGUGUUCCGCCUGGGGAGUACGCACGCAAGUGUGAAACUCAAAGGAAUUGACGGGGGCCCGCACAAGCGGUGGAGUAUGUGGUUUAAUUCGAUGCAACGCGAAGAACCUUACCAGGGUUUGACAUCCUGCGAAUCUCCUGGAAACGGGAGAGUGCCUUCGGGAACGCAGUGACAGGUGGUGCAUGGCUGUCGUCAGCUCGUGUCGUGAGAUGUUGGGUUAAGUCCCGCAACGAGCGCAACCCACGUCUUUAGUUGCCAGCAUUCAGUUGGGCACUCUAGAGAGACUGCCGGUGAUAAACCGGAGGAAG